UCCUUUCUUAUGUUAAAGUCUCCGGCA
rnacentral:misc_RNA from 1 species